AAGGUAUCUGAGAAGUGAUAGUUCGUUUGAUGUAAUUUCCUUAGAGUAAUCUCGUGAAUAAUGUGCUUGUUAUGUGAGAAUUAAUUAAUUGUAACAUGCUUACAUGAGAUCUUUGGUGAUUCAUUUUUUAAUGAGUACAAUUUUGAGUAAUUUGAUUUAGAUUCUGUUUAGUAACAACAAUAGUACUGAAGGAGGCAAAGA
rnacentral:lncRNA from 1 species